UGAGGAAUAUUGCUCAAUGGGCGAAAGCCUGAAGCAGCAACGCCGCGUGCGCGAUGAAGGUCUUCGGAUCGUAAAGCGCUUUUGAGAGGGACGAGAUAGGACGGUACCUCUUGAAUAAGUCACGGCUAACUACGUGCCAGCAGCCGCGGUAAAACGUAGGUGGCAAGCGUUAUCCGGAUUCACUGGGCGUAAAGCGCGUGCAGGUGGCUUCGUAAGUUGGACGUUAAAUCUUUCGGCCUAACCGGGAGGUGUCGUUCAAUACUGCGGGGCUUGAGGGUAGAAGAGGGUGGUGUAAUUGCCGGUGUAGUGGUGAAAUGCGUAGAUAUCGGCAGGAACACCUGUGGCGAAAGCGGCCCCCUGGUCUGCUCCUGACACUCAGACGCGAAAGCUAGGGGAGUGAACG
rnacentral:rRNA from 1 species